GUUUUAGGUGAAGAACCUGAGUCACUUACUAUGCUACCGAAAUUAUUUGUAUGUCUUGUUGUCUUUUGGGUCCUGCUAUUUUCGAUUUUUUUGGUGUUGAUGCUUCUAUUUCAAGUAUAUUUUCUCAGGUCAUUUCCCUGGCUGCGUAAGAUCAAUGAGAUCCUGAUUGUGACUUGUGCAUUUGAAGCUGAAGUGGCCCUUUAUUACCUGUGGAGGCGGCAUAAAUGCAGAGGAUUUCUUUAUAGAGAACUAUCCGUUUGGCAAGACUGGAAAUUUAUAGGGACAGUUUUUACGCUGGUAAUUUUAAAGGGUGUUCUGGUUGUAAUGGAAAUCAUAUUUAUUAUGAAACCAUACAUAUCAAGAAUGUCACCACACCUUGCCAGGUCCCUGAGAUGAUAAUAAGGUAAUUUCAGGUAGGACGUACAUUUGACUUAAUU
rnacentral:lncRNA from 1 species